GACGAACGCUGGCGGCGUGCCUAAUACAUGCAAGUAGGACGCAGUUGCGAACGGGUGAGUAACGCGUAGGUAACUGCCUAUUAGAGGGGGAUAACUAUUGGAAACGAUAGCUAAUACCGCAUACUAGUAGAUGGACCUGCGUUGUAUUAGCUAGUAGGUAGGGUAAUGGCCUACCUAGGCAACGAUACAUAGCCGACCCGGGUGUGUGAUCGGCCACACUGUUGCUGAGACACGGCCCAGACUCCUACGGGAGGCAGCAGGAGGGAAUCUUCGGCCAUGGGGGGAACCCUGACCGAGCAACGCCGAGGGAGUGAAGAAGGUUUUCGGAUCGUAAAGCUCUGUUGUUAAGGAAGCGGUACUUAACCAGAAAGGGACGGCUAACUACGUGCCAGCCGCCGCGGUAAUAC
rnacentral:rRNA from 1 species